AUGGCUCAACAUGUGCGACCGAGUGGCGCCGCCCGACAGAGCGUUCAAGAUGUCUGCCUGGGCCGCUCGGCAGGGAAGCGCUGCUCUCAGACACCUCGUCGUUCCUGCCUGCUACCUGCAAGUUGUCGCGGCCAGGACAUGCGUGAGCCACCUGGAACAGGAGACGGUCACGGACAGCACCGGCGUGCGCAAUGGCACGUGGAAGCGCUUCUACUACCACUGCCCCGGCAUCUACUUCCCGGAGGACUACACCGAGUGCUGCAGUCCGGAGGCCUCCAAGUGCUGCCCGCCGGACAAGUGGUUCUAUGAGAUCGACAACACCUUGGCGACAGCUAUCGCAGUGUCGGUGACGUUGACCUGCUUCGCACUCACCAUACUGGUGAUCGUCUGCUGCUUCUGGUCGCGGUGCCCGCUGUACAAUGCCUGCAGAUCUCGCUACAACCACGACAUUCCAAAUCACAAAACAGAGGAGCUCGUCAUGGAGACGGUGCCAGUGGAUUCCCCGGCGAACAAGAAGAAAUACGCCCCACUGGCAUCGAUGAACGGGAGCCCCAUCUUGGAUUCGCAUUCCAAAGGUGCCACGGCAGUGUAAUCAUCGUCGGAAGCAAUCGUUCAAGCGUGAUCUAUGUUCGCACAUUCCUUUGUGUGGAGGAGUUGGCACUCAACGCGGAUUCCCAAGAGGCGGCGUGGGCGUUCCUUUCUUUCAAUCAAUCGACCAUUGGCAUCUCACGUGCGGGUUGUGAAUAACGCUCUCGUGGAUGCCUCGACCACUGCCUCCGUUGUCCAGAAAGCUAGUUAUACUCGCCAUCGGGUUGUCGCGAUUUAUAACGGCGCAAGUUAGUAGUUUCGCCACGCCAACACGUGGCCCGUAUAGCUGUGAAAAACGCUUACGUAUAGGCUAGCUGUAUUUUGUUAUCACAAAGUGCUUCUUGUGCUAAAAGAAACAGAACGUCCAGCGCUUCGUGGUUGAAAGGCGGCGCACCAGAGAUGUCAACCUUAAGAAAAAUUCCUCGUUGUAAUUCACUCCAGCGUAACUUACAGAGAGAGUGAGUGGGAGUGAAAGGCAGGAAAGAUAACCAGGAAUAUGUGGUCUACUACCCUGCGCCGGAGGACAUGGAAAGAAGAGAUAACAGAUAAAGAAAGACACGUAGUAAGAGAGUACAAAGAAGUCGGUGAUUCCAAAUAAGCGCGAAAUACAAAACAUACAACAUGAGUAGUCCUUCCCACGAGUUAUGUCUUGAGGUAGCGCUUGGUCAUUUGUACUGGCAUUAAGCGAGGCCGUUAACUUCUGGAUUCUCAGGACACAAAAUAACUGUAGUGGUCGAGGCUUUUUUUUACUAUAUAGGUAUGCCAGCGCUGCAGUAAGUGUGUUAUUUUCUAGUUUUCCUUAAUGGUAUUAGAAAAGCCAGAACGACUCUUAGGGUACGUUACUUUAAAUUAUAGACCUCUCGGUGUGUUUAGCUAUAAAUUUGGGCUUUUAUUUGUGCUAAACUGCUAAUGAGCUGUUUUUUUUUUAGAUGUUGACAACUUUGUACUUCGGCGGAAAGUUCCAGUCUCAAUGAUUGGCGUCGGCGGCUACCGAACGUGCAGUAAUUGAAAAGUAAUUGAGUUUUAGUGAAGACAACUUCAUGACACUGUUUUGCAAACGCGUUCAAUGGUGAUUAAAAGGGAACUUCAGAAAUGUUUCGUAUCUCCCGAAAACAUCGUCUCUGAGAUAUAAAAAAAGUGUGUAUGUGUGAAGUCCCAAUCUUUGCUUUUGCCUGCAAAAAAAAAAAAGGUAAUCCGCCCUGCUCCGCUUCACGUACAAAUGUUGUUUGCACACCAUACUCGGGUUCAUGGAACUUCAUCUGGUCAUACCUCUGCACAUAUUAUAUGAUCAAAGAAAAUAGAUGUUCCUAUUGUGUCAUACAGGUGUGAUGUGAGGAUUUAGACGAAGAUGGGGAUGCGGGGGUUCGAAUACAAAUGGACGAAAAGAUAUCGUGUGCAACUGCAUUUCUUGUAUUGUUCAGUACAUGAGCGACGUUGUUGGAGAUAUCCGUCCUUCUGUUUGUCCAGUUGUGACUUCUACAGGCAUUCCAAUACAAUAGAGUAACAGCCGAAUAGGUGCUCUUGUGUUUUACUUCCAGUCACAUAAACGCUGACGUGUAAACCAGUCUCUUUCUUUUCUUAGGUUUCCUUAUUUGCAUCUAAAUUCUGGACGCCUGUGCCUGAGUGAAAGAAGAGGGUGUGAUGUUCUAAUAGACCUUCUUAUAGCACCGCCUUUCGUGUGUGACAUUGUAUAAAUAUACAGUGAUGACACAGGCAUUUAUCUUUUGUUUUCUUUCGCGUGAGAAAGCUCCAGUUAAACAUUAUUUCGCUUAGCAAUUUGAGAAAGGUAUGUUAACGCAAAAAAAGUACACGGGCGGAGAAAUUAGGAAAAUAUGAGCGUUGAAGUUCAAGGUUUGUUAAAAUGGCAUACAAGUGCGUGCUUGUCUUCUUUUGCUGCUUUUCAGCAUAAAUAUAUACCUUUAUGGUAAAAUAUUUCACUCAUAUAGCAAAACCUGAAACAAAAUUGUCCAUGUGGUAACCGUAACGAUGUGAUGCAUCUCAUAGUGUAACCAUCAUCUAACAGUAAUACAUCUUAGCGUGUAAUCAUACACUGCAGUGCACAAGCGAUAGGUUUCAGUUCUUAAUCAUUUGCAAAGCGCGAAAGCAACACAGAGCCUCAAGGAAAGUAGAAAUGGUCGUAAUGGUACUAUAAACAAAUACGCAACGCUUAGAGCGCUUAGCACCAUUACGACUGAAUUGCAACUGAUCCAGCUCGCCAAUCUCUUGAUGGAAAGAUGGUCCACAAUCUCUGACUGCCACUUAAACUCUAUUAUUGUAAACACGCAAGCACAAACAUAGUCGGCAUCAACGCUCCUAUUUGUUCCUCCUUUCCGUCCACUGUGUUACUUCGUUUAGUAGAACGUGUUAUUGGGCUAGUUGGUAAGUCGCUAUUGUGAAGUAAUUAGAUGCAGCUUAGCA